UUUCCAAAGUAGUUUUCCAAACAUUUUCGGCACACCUUCGAGAAGCAUCGCACUGGAGAUGCCGUAGGUGGUAAGACCAUGAGUCCGCUCUCCAAACUGACUACAGAGUAUAAUUCUUGUCUGCAUUUCCUCGAGAGGACAUUUUGUUCAUCUCCGUGUACAUACUUCAAUGCCCAGCACAGUGCCUUUUACCUAGCAACUCUCCAAAAAUCGUGGUUGUAUAAAUGGAAAGACUGAAUGACUCUACAUGGCUCUCUGUUUUUGGACACAGACCAUCUUUGGAACAGCCAUCAGCUCUGCAGGGA